CCUACGGGAGGCAGCAGUAGGGAAUAUUGCACAAUGGGGGAAACCCUGAUGCAGCGACGCCGCGUGAGUGAAGAAGUAUUUCGGUAUGUAAAGCCCUAUCAGCAGGGAAGAUAAUGACGGUACCUGAUUAAGAAGCCCCGGCUAACUCCGUGCCAGCAGCCGCGGUAAUACGUAGGGGGCAAGCGUUACCCGGAUUUACUGGGUGUAAAGGGAGCGUAGACGGGAGCACAAGUCUGGAGUGAAAUGCCAUGGCUUAACCACGGAACUGCGUUGGAAACUGUGCAGCUAGAGUGCAGGAGAGGUAAGUGGAAUUCCUAGUGUAGCGGUGAAAUCCGUAGAGAUUAGGAGGAAUACCAGUGGCGAAGGCGGCUUACUGGACUGUAACUGACGUUGAUGCUCGAAAGCGUGGGGAGCAAACAGGAUUAGAUACCCCUGUAGUC
rnacentral:rRNA from 1 species